AACGAACGCUGGCGGCAGGCUUAACACAUGCAAGUCGAGCGCCCCGCAAGGGGAGCGGCAGACGGGUGAGUAACGCGUGGGGAUCUACCCAUCUCUACGGAAUAACGCAUGGAAACGUGUGCUAAUAUCGUAUACGUCCUUCGGGAGAAAGAUUUAUCGGAGAUGGAUGAGCCCGCGUUGGAUUAGCUAGUUGGUGGGGUAAAGGCCUACCAAGGCGACGAUCCAUAGCUGGUCUGAGAGGAUGAUCAGCCACACUGGGACUGAGACACGGCCCAGACUCCUACGGGAGGCAGCAGUGGGGAAUAUUGGACAAUGGGCGCAAGCCUGAUCCAGCCAUGCCGCGUGAGUGAUGAAGGCCCUAGGGUUGUAAAGCUCUUUCACCGGUGAAGAUAAUGACGGUAACCGGAGAAGAAGCCCCGGCUAACUUCGUGCCAGCCGCCGCGGUAAUAC
rnacentral:rRNA from 1 species